GACGCGCAUGCUCGCGGGGGCCGAGCCUCCGGGGCCUUCCGGCGGGGAGUGCGGGGGCGCCUGGCGGGCCCGGCCGGGCUCGGGUGCGGAGAGCUACGAGGCCGAACUGGGGCUUCCGUGGGUCCCGGAGUGAACGUCCGCCGGACUAUCCGGCGGUCAGCGGUGCUUGCCCUCGUUCAACGCCGCCCAAACCAAACCCCGCUCUUGCAAAAAAAAAAAAAAAAAAGAAAAAACUACCGACAGUUUUGGGUGAAUCCCCGACAGGUCCGCCUGGCGCGGCCGGUGGGGCGGGAACCGUGCAAGGGACACCAACUGGUCGGAAACGCAAUCCUAGAGCAGAGGGGACAAAGGAGGUAACACUAUGGUAGAGGAAGCUGAGACUUGCCUGUAAGCUCUCCAGUCCUCAGUGGUAAGGAAGAGACUACAGCCUUUGGACCCGGGAAACCAAGAUGCGUGUGGAUGCCCAUCCGGAGCUCUUUCCAGGAUCUUGGACUCAAAACCCGUUUAAGCAUCCACGAGCUGUGCAGGGGGCUGCUCUGUGUGCCAGACUUCCUUCGCCUUAACGGAUAUUCUUCUUUAUAUCCAAGAGGAGAUCUCUUGCAGGUUUGCUCUUAUUUCCAAGACUUUAUAUCCAAGAGGAGAUCUCUUGCAGUUUUGCUCUUAUUUCCAAGAAUAAAUGCUACGGGUUUGCACAUA